GAUGAACGCUAGCUACAGGCUUAACACAUGCAAGUCGAGGGGAAACGGCAUCGAAAGCUUGCUUUUGAUGGGCGUCGACCGGCGCACGGGUGAGUAACGCGUAUCCAACCUGCCCAUCACUUGGGAAUAACCUUGCGAAAGUAAGACUAAUGCCCAAUGACAUCCCACGAAGGCAUCCGAAUGGGAUUAAAGAUUUAUCGGUGAUGGAUGGGGAUGCGUCUGAUUAGCUUGUUGGCGGGGUGACGGCCCACCAAGGCAACGAUCAGUAGGGGUUCUGAGAGGAAGGUCCCCCACAUUGGAACUGAGACACGGUCCAAACUCCUACGGGAGGCAGCAGUGAGGAAGAUUGGGCAAUGGGCGAGAGCCUGAACCAGCCAAGUAGCGUGCAGGAUGACGGCCCUAUGGGUUGUAAACUGCUUUUAUAAGGGAAUAAAGUGGGUCACGUGUGACUUUUUGCAUGUACCUUAUGAAUAAGGACCGGCUAAUUCCGUG
rnacentral:rRNA from 1 species